CUUGUCAUGAGCUGCCAAGGAUAUGGAAGCCUCUUGAGCUCACAAACUCCGAUCUUAUUUAGACAAGGCCAUAUUCAUCAGAGAAAGAGAAAGGAGAGCAACAGGGCACGUGGGACAGCAGGGGCCGUCUUCAGCCAUCUUGAGAACUUUCUACGGUGACAGUCCCUGUGAGAGUCCCGGCUGCGACCAUGGAAGAGAUCUCCUAUAGAAGGCAGUGGAAUGUUUCCCCCUGCUAAACCUGAACAGUGCUUUGUAAGUAGCUCAAAGGCAGCCAUUUUAUAAAUAUGUGUACUGAGACUUUCCUCCUUGAACCAUUUGAUAUAUAUUCUAUUAUACUUAUUGAAGCAUGCCAUUUCUAAAACAUGAGCCUGGGAUUGAUUAUAAAGAAGUAGGAUAUCUUGACUCCUUUAACUGAGGUUUUGAAAAAUCGGCCCAAGUAGUUUCAAAGCAGAGUCAUGAAAUUCUACAUGUCUUCGGACAUUAUUUAUCUUUUUUCUGUGAAAAUGUGUGGUAUAUAUGGGAAAACAUUAAUCUGGGCACAGUGCUUGCUUUUCCCUGCUGACGCCUAUGCCAGUUAUCCAGAGGAAUUCAAUUCUGUCCCAGCUGCUUCCCGCCUUUAUUUAUAGGUGCCUGCCAGGCCAUUCCUAAGUGUAGAUCUGGUGGUCUAGAAAUGUCAUCCUCUUCUAUGAGACAAACAAUUUUGAUAAGAACUGCAUCUAAAGUUUCAGAAGUACUCCAGACAUAGUGAACACAAGUGGCCUUGAUGUAUUUUUUAAAAUUAGUUUUUUGUGGUCAAGAUACCUUUGGAACAUAAACACUUGUAUGAAGAUAGUAGUGAUUGAAACUUGUUUACGGCCCUAAAAUUGUAUACUGUUCUCUUUGAAAACACAUCCUGUAGUAAUAACUAUUUGUACUUAGAAGAAAUCUUUCAUCUUAGAUUGUCAAACCACAAUCAUUAGUGUGAAUGGUGAGGUAGAUAAGUGUUAUAUUCACUUCUUAGUGUUUAUACUUGAACCACUACAAAAUCCCAAGACAAACAAUUGAAAAGAUGAGAGGACUCAAAGUAGAUGUCCUUUGGCUGUACAGCAAGUGCAGACUUUUAGACUUCUUUGAUGUAUUUUCAUAGAUUUGACUGAAAUGACUUUGGAUUCAAAGUUUAGGAUUUCAUCUAUGACCAUGUUCUCAUGAAGGUGUGGUUCUUAGUGCUGUGUUGACCCCUCUGAAUCCCAACAGCCAUAUGACUGAGCCCUGUGGAGAGAACAAGCAAGCUGCUCAUUUUGGUCGUCUGUGGUACAUCAGCGUAUUUUAUUUCAACUCUGGGUCAGAACAUCCAACAUGUAUCUCUGUCAUUAUAACUAUGGAUUCAGUUUUGAUAUUUCAAUGACUAUAGAAUAUUCUAGCAUAUCAUUUCAAUGUGCUAAUCAUGAAAAAGUUUGUAGUUUUUAAAAAAAAAUGGCUAAAACAAACAGUGUUAAGUCUGGGCCAUGCACCGUUUGAAAUACUUUGCGAAAGUCAACUUGAAUUAUCAUAAAAAUAAAAAAGAUAUUAUUUGUUCCCAUCUUAUAGAUGAAGAAGAUAAGGUACAAGGCAAUAAGAAAUUUGCUCAGUUUCACUUCUGUUAACUGUUAGAAGUGUUAUGCUAAACUAGAAAAUUUGACUAUCAUCAGGCUGAUAAAGAAGCGUCAAUAAAGAUAUGCUCAAUUUAUUCUUAAAUUAUUGUUUAUGACUAGAUAUAUCAUUUGGCAAUUACCUUUCUAAAAAAUGAAAGCAGUCCCUUUGAAUAAACAUGAUGAUUUUAUUUAUUUAGGGACUUUUCCACUUCUAAAAAUUAGAUCUCAAAAUGUCAUUUUAGAUAAAAAAAAAAGAAGAAUGAGAUCAUGCAGAUGAGAAGUAGUAAACUACCUAAAACAGACAAAUAGGCUCAGUUAUAUGAGAAUACCUUAAGGAAAAAUAGAAAUUAAUUGAGGGGGUCAAAGGCAAAGCUGGGGAACCUGUUUAUCUUGUAUUUGUUAAGAUCUUUGCAUGUAUGUUUUGAUUCAGUCAGCAACAAACUCCUUAGAGGAGGAUAUAGCAUCCCCAGUUCACAAAAUAGUGCCAUAAUAAAGCUCGAAGAAUUCUGAGUGCAUCACCCCGAUUCUCAGGGCCAGGAAGCUGGGAUUGGACUCUGGCUGGCGAAAGGCACAGUUGUUCCAUCCCACUUCACUUCCAGUGUAUACAGAACACGCACACAGCUUCAUUAGCAGAAGCAAGCUCUUCUCUGAAACUGCACGUACUGCUGGAUUUAUCUCAUGAAACUACAUAUCAGCUGUGAUGGCUACAAAAAUGGUGAAUGCUAUCCGCUAAUCUGCGAAGAUUAUUAUAGGUCUACUGAAACAGAUGCUUCUGAUCUAAAAUCUGUACAAAUGCAGUCACAUUCAUUAAGGCAACGUACACCUGCUAGAGGUAAGAGUGUAAGAGAAAAGAAUAUGAGGGAACAUACUAAAGUUCAGAUGGAAUGACCAAAGACACCCUGGGGAUAUGGUACAUUAUACGGUAACUUAAGUUAACCAUAUAAUGAAGAAGAGGAUUCAAAAAGAAAAGGAAUAAGCAAAUGUGAAGAAUUAAGAAAAUGACAGUCUGACGGGGGGUGGGGGAGGCUAUUGUGGUCCAUAAGCUGUACUUUGGAAAUUUAUGCUCAUUAAAUAAAUUUAAAAAAAAAAGAGCAAAUGUGAAGAAUUAAGAAAACGACAGUCUGAUAUAAAAAUGGCAAUGAUUGUUAUCAUUUCUGGGUGUAUUUUAUAUGUCACUUAAUAUAUAAUAGACACAGCUCCUUUGCAUGAUAGAUGUCAUUAUCACCAUUUUAGAGAAAGCAAACUCUUAUGUAUUGGUAAAUGAAUAAGGAAGAUAGUGAUACAUUAUUAGAACAUGGAACUCUGUAGCAACUGAUUAGGUGUCUUGCCUAGAGUAAGAGCUGACCCAGAAGACAGACAAUUCUAAUAACUAACUUUUGUGCUUUGCUCACAGUAUUCUAAGCAUGGUGGAUAGAAUAUCUUAUUUAAAUCUUGACCGAUCUAUGAGGGAGCUAUUGUUGCCACUGAGGUAUACAUUCAAAAAAAUUCUUCAGUCUCCGAAAUUAAGUAAGUUGAUCAAUGUUGGAAAGCUACCAGUGUAAACGUCUUGAGAUUAACUUUUUGGAAGAUCUUUUAACGUUCUUUUUCUGGGGGAAGUGGAAUGUAGCUUAUAUGAGUGUCACAAGGGAGUGAUAAUGGAAAAAGAUGCUAGGGACUACCACAUUGAUUCAAGGAGGGCACUGGUGCACAGGUGUGACCAGAUCAGGGUUUGUUAGAGGGCAACAUGUCCACUUGCUAGCCUCUACAACUUGUUUGUGUGGAGGUCUGCAGAUGACAGGGUGACAGCUUCUCAUUGUCGGAGAGCAUUAUAAACAUGAAAGAGUGCAGGCUAGAAUGAACCCUGUGGUACUGGGAUGGAAUUGUGAUAGUAACAGAACACACGACUUUCCCUAUGUGGGUGGGGAUGGAUAGAGAAUAUAUAUAUAUUCAGAAAUAUGUGUACAUAUGUGCUCUGUGCACCCCAGCAGCCAUGUGCAUUCCCAGGCACAGAAGGAUUAGGACAUUUAUCUACAGUCUCCAUGGCCAGUGUCAGAUAAAAGUGGGUUUGAACCCAGGCAGUAGGACUUGUGGACUUCACUCCUUAACGAGAGUGCUGGCGAAGUUAAAAAGUUUUGGUCAGUGAAUAAAAUGUCAGAAUUUUUACUUAAGAAAUGAAAUGAAUACAUCUUUUUGUCUGAAGCCCCCAACAGAACCAUUUCACUUCAGCGCUAAAUCUUUUGCAUGUGAGUAAUACUGCCUCAGAUCCCUCACUUUGUAUAAGUUUUCUUGGGUUAGCCCCUAUUGUCUUUAUUCUGAAAAUAUAAAAUUGUUUUUCAUAAUUAAACUUUCAUGUAAGUAUUUGUUAUACAUGAAUAUAAUGUUAAAAUUGUGAAAUUUACGGAAAGCUUAUAAAAACCUAUAUAGUGUGUUAGCUGCUUUAUAUAAAUUACCUCAACCACUACAACAGUGCUCUAAUUUCAUUACUGAUGGGUCUCGGGGAGUCUUGAAAUUGUUGCUCCAGUCAUUUGAGUUAGAGGCUCUAUAUUCUGCCACUGGUUACUGUGAACCCACGUGCAUUCAUCACAGAACCACAGAUAUGUGGUGCUGUGACUCAGAUUUCCUGGAUGUCCAAGACAAAGAGAUUAGGCUGACAUGUAUCUCCCUUUUUCAGAAACAAAGCCUUUUGUGGAAAGUGACUGCCUGACCCCUCUUUGUAGUCUGUUUCACCCUGGAUAGAGGGAAUUUUGUGAGAUCACAGAGAACUGUUUUAAGGAACUUAAGGAUAGUUCGAGAUGAAAGCAUUUAUCAACUUCUGCUAUCAGACUUAUUUUUUUUCUAGACAUUGUAUCACACUGUCCAAAAAAGAGGUAUUUUAUCAUACAGAGACAGGCCUAGAGUGGCUGUGCUCCACACACCUGUCACUGAUAUACAAACUAGUCAAUUGGCAGAAAUGUGAGUGAACUAAAGACAAGGCUUAGAAAGGUUUUCAAAGAUCCAGCAGCACCGAGCUUGCUGAGAAAGGUGGGGAAGCGUAAGCCCCAAAUGACUCAGCUGGAAUCCCUGUAGAGAUUUGAACCAACUGCAGUUGGAAAUACAAAGUAGAAGCAGUAGAAAACACAGACGAGAAGCAAAUGGCAGCCUAAAGCAAACAGAGUCAAAUUUGAGAUCAAAAAGUCUACCAUUCAAUGGUUGCUUGUGAAGGGAAGUGGAAGGGGAAAAAUGGAGGGGCUGGAGUUUGAUCAAAAUAGAAUAUCUAACAGAACCCGGGACCCAGAGUACAGCAAGGGACAACCAGCUGUCAUGUUUUGCGUAACACAUUUCUUUUAUUUAAAUGAUUAAUUAUUUCCAUUAAUUUAUGACUUUGGGGAUUCAUCAUCCACAGGAGAUUGGAAGCCAAAUCUUGUUAAAAUCCAGCAAUAUCUGUGUGUAGGUUUUUGUGUGGACCUAAGUUUUCAAAUCCUUUGGCUAAAAGCCAUGAGAACAAUUUGGAGGUUCUAUGGUAAGAGUGCAGUAGUCUUGUAAGUGACUGCUGAGUUGUCUUCCAAAGGGUUACAGCAUUUUUCAUUCCCACCAGCACUGAAUAAGGGUUUCCACUGCUUACCAUCUUCCACAAUAUUUGGUAACAGCAGUGUUCUAAUAAGUGCAGUAGUACCUCAUGGUUAUUUUCAUUUGUAUUUUCCUAAUGGUAUAUGGUGUAGAACAUCUUUUUAUAGAAUUAUUUGACAUCUGUAUUUUUUUGAUGCAUCGUGAGUCCAUUCCUUAAUCAGCUUGCUCAUUUGUUCAUUUUCUUAUUAAGUUGGAAAAGAGUCCUUUAUCAGAUGUGUGUUUUUGCAAGUGUUUUCUCCUUGUCUUUGGCUUCUCUUUGGUUCCUUCCCUAAUCUUUCUCAGGUAAAUUCCACUUAUAAAUUCUUUCUUUCUUAGGUCAUGUCUUUGGUAUUAUAUCUACACUUAUACCAUUUCUAAGGCCAUACAGAUUUUCUCUUAUAUUCCAGGAGUUUUAAAGUUUUUCCUUUUGCAGUUAGGUAAAUGAUUAGUUUGAUUAGUUUGGAGCUGAUUUUUGUGAAAGACGUGAGGUCUAUACUUGUAUUCAUUGUUUUAAAUGUGGAUAUACAGUUAGCACCAUUUGCUUAAAUGAUUGUCUUUGUUUCAUUCUGUUGUUUUUGUUCCCUUUUCAAAGACAGCUUGCCUAUACCUCUGAAGGCUUUCCUCCAUUUAUUUGCCUACUUGUUUUUUUUUAACUUUUAUUUAAUGAAUAUAAAUUUCCAAAGUACAGCUUAUGGAUUACAAUGGCUUCCCCCCCAUAACUUCCCUCCCACCAGCAACCCCCCCCGCUCCCUCUCCCCUUCCAUUCACAUCAAGAUUCAUUUUCAAUUAUCUGUAUAUACAGAAGAUCAAUUUAUCAUAUAUUAAGUAAAUAUUUCAACAGUUUGCACCUACACAGAAACACCACAUUUUUGUGGUUACUAUGGCUUUAUAGGGAGUCUUGAUUUUGAGUAUCGUCAGACUUCCAACAUUUUUCUUCUCUUUCAACAUUGUUCUGACUCUUCUGGGUCUUUUCACUCUGCAUAUAACUUCGGUAUUGGUUUGUCAAUAUCACAAAAAUAUUUUUUUGAUUUUGAUUGGGGAUUUCAUUGAUUCAAUUUAUUAUGAUUUUAUUGAGGAUUUUGGUAUCAAUGUAUAUGACAGAUGUUAGUCUGUAGUUUUCUUACAAUAACUUUUGUGGUUUUCUUACUGGGACAAUGCUGUCUUUGGAGAAUAAGUUAGGGAAUAUUCCCCUACUUUUAUUUUCUGAAAAGGAUUGUAGAGAAUAUGUAUAAUUUAUUCCUGAAAUGUUGGUUGGAAUUCACCCACGAGCCCAUCUGGUACUGGUGCCUUUUACUUUGGAAGGUUAUUAAUUUUUUAUUCUACUUAUUUGGCAGUUACAGACCUACUCAGAUUAUUUCUUCUUGUGUGAGUUUUAGCACGUUAGGUCUCUCAAUAAAUAUAUUUCACUUAAGAUAUCAAAUUUGUGGGCAUAAAGUUAUUUACAGUGUGAGAAUUAUGAUGAUGUACUAUUAGGGACUCUGUAGUGACGUCUCCUCUUGAAUAUUUGAUAUCCUUAAUUCAUAUCCUCUCUUUCUUUUGUUCUUAGUUAGCCUGGGUAGUGACUUGUCAAAUUUAUUGAUCUCUGUAAAGAAUCAGCUUUUGUUUAUAUUGACAUUCUCCAUUGGUUUCCAGUUCUCAGUUUCAGUGAUUUCUCUUCUAGUUUUUGUCAUUUCUUCUGCUGACUGUAGAUUUAAUUUAUGCGGCUUCUUCUAAAUUCCUAAUUUGGAAUCAUAGUUUACUGAUUUCAGAUAUUUACUUUGGAUUGCAUGCAUUUAGUAUUAUAAAUGUACCUUAUACCAUGGCUUUACUGCACUCCAAAGGUUUUGAUACAUUGUAUUUCCAUUUUCAUAAUCUCAACAUAAUUUUUUUUAAGAUUUUAUUUAUUUAUUUG